rnacentral:rRNA from 1 species
CAUCACUACGCUAGAUGCAUAUCAAUAAGCGGAGGAAAAGAAACUAACAAGGAUUCCCCUAGUAACGGCGAGUGAAGCGGGAAGAGCUCAAAUUUGAAAUCUUAAAGGGUUUCCCUUUACGAAUUGUAGUUUAAAGAAGUGUUUUCUGUUGGAGUUUCGGUAAAAGUUCUUUGGAAUAGGACAUCAUAGAGGGUGAGAAUCCCGUAUUUGACCGUUACUUUCCAGCUGUGUGAUACACUUUCAAAGAGUCGGAUUGUUUGGGAAUGCAGUCCAAAAUGGGUGGUAAAUUUCAUCUAAAGCUAAAUAUUGGCGAGAGACCGAUAGCGAACAAGUACCGUGAGGGAAAGAUGAAAAGAACUUUGAAAAGAGAGUUAAACAGUACGUGAAAUUGUCAAAAGGGAAGCGUUUGACACCAGUGUUGUUUAGUUGAAAAUCAAUUCAAUAAUUUUUGAUUUUGAGUAGUAUUGACUUCAUCAGCUUGCUGCUUUCUUUUCAGAAAUUAUUGAAUGCACUUUUCAGUUAACAAGUCAACAUCAAUUUCUUUUGUUGUAAAAGGAGUCAGUAGGAAGGUGGCUUUACAGUUCGGCGUAAGUGUUUAUAGCCUUUUACCUCUGCAAUCGGAGAGAUUGAGGACAGCAGCGUAGACUCCUUCGGGGUUAGAUACACUUGUGCUAAGCUAUAGCCUUGUAUAGACAACUUGUUGACUAUGCUCAGUCAUGUAGCUUACUCGCUUGUGCUAUUUUACCUACGCUUAGGAUGUUGACGAGACUGUCGAUCUC